CCUACGGGAGGCUGCAGUGGGGAAUAUUGCACAAUGGGCGCAAGCCUGAUGCAGCCAUGCCGCGUGUGUGAAGAAGGCCUUCGGGUUGUAAAGCACUUUCAGCGGGGAGGAAGGCGGUGAGGUUAAUAACCUCAUCGAUUGACGUUACCCGCAGAAGAAGCACCGGCUAACUCCGUGCCAGCAGCCGCGGUAAUACGGAGGGUGCAAGCGUUAAUCGGAAUUACUGGGCGUAAAGCGCACGCAGGCGGUCUGUCAAGUCGGAUGUGAAAUCCCCGGGCUCAACCUGGGAAUUGCAUUCGAAACUGGCAGGCUAGAGUCUUGUAGAGGGGGGUAGAAUUCCAGGUGUAGCGGUGAAAUGCGUAGAGAUCUGGAGGAAUACCGGUGGCGAAGGCGGCCCCCUGGACAAAGACUGACGCUCAGGUGCGAAAGCGUGGGGAGCAAACAGGAUUAGAUACCCCGGUAGUC
rnacentral:rRNA from 1 species